UGUGGUAGCAUAAUCACUAGGUUUUUAAUUGGAAUUUUGUAUGAAUGAUUGAUCAAGAGAAAAACUGUCUUUAUACUAAAGUUUGAAUUUAACUUUUAUGUGAAAAGGGUUUAAUAUUCUAAGGGAUCGAUAAGACCCUAUAUAAAUUUUACAUUCAGUGUUAAUAUUUUAUUUAAUUUGUUUGUACUACGAUUUAAAUUUAAUUUUUUGUUAUGUUGGGGAGACAAAAGCUAUAAUUUAUAUUAACUGCUUGAAGAGAAAUCAAUAAAUUAGUGAUUCGAUUGUUAUAGAUCCUCUCUAAAGAUUAAAAGAUUAAGUUACUUUAGGGAUAACAGCGUUAUUUUUUUUGAGAGUUCAUAUCU
rnacentral:rRNA from 1 species